rnacentral:lncRNA from 1 species
CACGAAAUGAAGCUCGAACGAGCACAGCCAAAGAACGGCCGUUUCUGUCCUUUCUUCUUAAUCCCUUUGGCUUAGGGUUUCCCGGCCUGGACAGCCUGCCCAAGGGCACAUGGGCAUCCGUCCGGGGACAUUCAGGCAGUGACCAAUCCCAGGCCACCCAGGCUGCGCCCUGCGUCGUGGGCCAUUUCCCAGCCGGCCAGAGAUGGAGCAGCCACUGCGGGUCCCCGAGUCUCGCACCAACCCGGAGACCACCCUCGGCCGGAGCCCAGCACGGCCACCGUCACGUCUCGGUCGUCCAGCUUGGGACAGCCCCCAAGGAGAAGAGGUGCUGAACUGGGUCCCCUGGAGGCUCCUGAGCCCCAGAACAGUGCCCUCUGAGCAGACGGGCACUCUCAGACCAGCUCACGCUGGACAAGUCAGCUCCUGCCUGCCGCCUGAUGGGCCCUUGGGAGAAGCAGACAUGGUGAGGAAAAGGCCCCUGUGCCCUUCACCCUAAUUCCCCAGCCCCAAGUCCCACUGGGUUGCCAGCUUCAACCUAAGCAAAUAAUUCGUGCCCUCUAAACAAACGCGCGGGAAUCCCACCUGCCC